GGGAAGCUCCUUAUGGAGCGAAGUCUUUGAUUCCCCGCUGCCAAGAAAAGCUUCUAGCGAGAUAAAAGGUGCCUGUACCGCAAACCGACACAGGUAGGCGAGGAGAGAAUCCUAAGGUGAGCGAGAGAACUCUGGUUAAGGAACUCGGCAAAAUGACCCCGUAACUUCGGGAGAAGGGGUGCUUUCUUAACGGAAAGCCGCAGUGAAUAGGCCCAAGCGACUGUUUAGCAAAAACACAGGUCUCUGCGAAGCCGUAAGGCGAAGUAUAGGGGCUGACACCUGCCCGGUGCUGGAAGGUUAAGGAGAGGGGUUAGCGCAAGCGAAGCUCUGAACUGAAGCCCCAGUAAACGGCGGCCGUAACUAUAACGGUCCUAAGGUAGCGAAAUUCCUUGUCGGGUAAGUUCCGACCCGCACGAAAGGUGUAACGAUUUGGGCACUGUCUCAACCAGAGACUCGGUGAAAUUAUAGUACCUGUGAAGAUGCAGGUUACCCGCGACAGGACGGAAAGACCCCGUGGAGCUUUACUGUAGCCUGAUAUUGAAUUUUGGUACAGCUUGUACAGGAUAGGCGGGAGCCUUUGAAGCCGGAGCGCUAGCUUCGGUGGAGGCGCUGGUGGGAUACCGCCCUGGCUGUAUUGAAAUUCUAACCUACGGGUCUUAUCGACCCGGGAGACAGUGUCAGGUGGGCAGUUUGACUGGGGCGGUCGCCUCCUAAAGUGUAACGGAGGCGCCCAAAGGUUCCCUCAGAAUGGUUGGAAAUCAUUCGUAGAGUGCAAAGGCAUAAGGGAGCUUGACUGCGAGACCUACAAGUCGAGCAGGGACGAAAGUCGGGCUUAGUGAUCCGGUGGUUCCGCAUGGAAGGGCCAUCGCUCAACGGAUAAAAGCUACCCCGGGGAUAACAGGCUUAUCUCCCCCAAGAGUCCACAUCGACGGGGAGGUUUGGCACCUCGAUGUCGGCUCAUCGCAUCCUGGGGCUGUAGUCGGUCCCAAGGGUUGGGCUGUUCGCCCAUUAAAGCGGUACGCGAGCUGGGUUCAGAACGUCGUGAGACAGUUCGGUCCCUAUCCGUCGUGGGCGUAGGAAAUUUGAGAGGAGCUGUCCUUAGUACGAGAGGACCGGGAUGGACGCACCGCUGGUGUACCAGUUGUUCUGCCAAGGGCAUAGCUGGGUAGCUAUGUGCGGAAGGGAUAAGUGCUGAAAGCAUCUAAGCAUGAAGCCCCCCUCAAGAUGAGAUUUCCCAUAGCGUAAGCUAGUAAGAUCCCUGAAAGAUGAUCAGGUUGAUAGGUUCGAGGUGGAAGCAUGGUGACAUGUGGAGCUGACGAAUACUAAUAGAUCGAGGACUUAACCA
rnacentral:rRNA from 1 species